rnacentral:misc_RNA from 1 species
UGCACAUAUAUUAUAAUAUAAUAUAUACUGCUAAUUUUAUGCACUCGAUAGCAUUAUAAUUUCUAUAAUUCAUCUAUAAUUUUUUAUGCAAAUUUUUACAAGGAUUCAUAUCGUCUGCUUUAGUGCACAUGCACUAGAAAAUAUUUUGCAACUGCCCAACACUCAACACUGCGUGCUGCGUGGCGGUGGCAGUGUGAUCAGUGUAUGGCAAGAUGGCGAGUCGUGAUUGUAGUGCAAUAGUCUUAGCCCGUAUUUUACUUCUUUGUCCGAGGCCGAAAGAAAAACAAGUUUGCAUUGAUCGUCAUCUUGAUUAAUACGUCGCGUAAAUACAUAUAUAUAUACGGUAUAAAAGUCAGAGGGAGAGAGAGAAAAACUGCACCAACAAUUCGCGCGAGAACGUGUCGUGCGGUGUCGUGGUUAGAUUCCCCAUUUUUCGUAGAAGAAAAAGUGAGUGGUUUUGUGCAAAAACGCAAGGACGAGGAGACGUGUGACCAUCGCGAAUUCGGCGUAAAAAACGAAGAAAAUACGUAUUUAAUCAUCUUGCAUCGACCAAUGAUAUCACACCUGGUAUUGCUCUUGAUGUAUGCCUUGGUGUGCUUUUAUUAUUCAGUAUUCACAAGCAAAUGCGGCAAGUCUUGAAAAAGAAGAUCCUUCUGGUAUCUAUCAUAACAUUAUUAUUAUAAGGCAACAAGAUUUAUUACCACUUUCAUUCCCAAAAAUUCCUUCGAUAAUGGAUGAGAAACCUAGAAACUUUCGAGCUUUCAAGAGAGCAUUAAAUCGCAAGGUAGAGAGAGAAAUUGCCAAAAGGACAAAAUUGGAAAGAAUAGCGUCCGUUCUUUAUAAACGAUAUGGUAAAAGUGAGAGCAAUAACGAGAGUGAGAAUGAAAGUGAACAUAUUGUCAAUCAAUGCUAUAUUAUCAAUGCUAAUCAUGAUAAAAAUAAUGAUGUUACCGGAGAUAAUAACAUAAAUGUUUUUAAUUGUAACAAUGAUGAAGAUGAUCAUAAUGAAAGUGAUAAUCUUGAAAAUAAUGAACUAUUAAGACAUGAUGCUAGUAAUAGUGAACUGAGUAUCGAAAAUUUCUCUGACAAUGAGAAUUCCAGAGUUCAUGACACAGAGUCUACUCAUACUUGCACUGAAAGUGACGUAGAAGGAAUAGGUGUUCAAGAAUUGGUUUCAAGUGAUGAAACAGAUAUAGAAGAAGAGCAAAUACAUUGUCUACAUAUAAAUGAGAUAGGCCAAUAUGUUGCUAUAAAAAUAAAAGAAUGGGCAUGCGAAGAAGGUAUGUUAUCAAUGCGUAAAUUGCAAUCAUUGCUUUUAAAACUUCAUCCAGUAUUCCCAAAUCUAUGCCUUACUUACAAAACUCUUUUGAACACUGUACGCAAUAUACAAUUGAUUCAAAUCGAUGAUGGUGAAAUCUGGUACAAGGGUAUUAUUUUUAAUUUAGACUCCAUGAAUUUAAAUGAUUAUCUGGAGCGAUUCAAUAAAAUUGUGAUUGAUAUUAAUAUUGAUGGUCUGCCUAUAUCCAAAAGUUCCUCGAGUAAAUUUUGGCCUAUACUAGGAAGACUUGUAUGGUCUAAAAAUGAACCCUUUAUUAUCUCGAUAUAUAAAGGAAAUAAAGAUCCUAAUAUACAAGACUUUUUACAUUCAUUUGUCAGAGAGAUUGAAUAUUUACAAGAAAAUGGAUACAUACGUAAUGGCAUUCGAUACACAUUUUCUAUAAGGCAUUAUAUUUUAGAUGCCCCAGCUCGCGCAAAAAUUAAAUGCUGUAAAGAUCACGUAGGAUAUUGCGCAUGUGAAAAAUGUGAAGUCAUUGGCGAAUAUAUUGAUAAUAGGAUGACCUUUGUUGAGCUUAACGAGCCUUUGAGGACAGAUGAAUCAUACAAUAAUCAAAAGCAACCAUAUCACCAUACUGGUCACUCACCAUUGGAAAAAAUUGGAACUGGCCUAGUAUCACAGUUUCGUCUUGAUGGAAUGCACUUGAUUUUCCUAGGUGUUAUAAAGAGAUUACUUUUGACUUGGAAGAUGUGCAAUGGGCCGUGGAAAUUGCAUCGGAAUACUAUUGCAGCUAUUUCUUCGGAAUUAAUAUCAUUGAAACCUUCAUGUCCUCAAGAUUUUAAUAGACCUCCAAGAUCUCUUGCAGAAAUAUCUUUUUAUAAAGCUACAGAGUUCAGAAGAUUCUUGUUGUAUGAUGGAAUAUUAGUACUAAGAGAUUAUUUGGAUGAAAACAUUUACAAGCAUUUUCUUCUUUUACAUUGUGGAAUAUAUAUCUUAAGCAGCCCUGUUUUAGUAAAAUCUCAUUGCAAAUAUGCAGGUCAAUUGUUAAGGACCUUCAUUAAACAUUCUGUUGUUAUUUAUGGUGCAAGAUUUGUAGUUUAUAAUGUCCAUUCUAUGUGCCAUUUAGAGGAAGAGUGUCAGCAACAUGGCCAUCUGGAAAACUUUAGCGCAUUUGUUUUUGAAAAUAAAUUGCAAGGCCGCGAGCUGACACAAGAAGAUGAUGAAUUUUACGACGUUGGCCGUACGGAAUGGAUUACGGAUAUAGAUGAAAAUAUGGAAGCAAAAAUCAAAUGGCCUCCUUGCAAUGCAGGGAAAUUUGUCCAAAAAGAAUUACCUGCAUCUCCAGAUUGGAUAGAAGAACGUAUAAUUAUUAGAAAAUUUUAUGAUGCACGCAUUAAUGCCAUAAUUUCGUGUAAGGGAAUCAUAGAUGAUUCAAAUUAUGAAACAGACAAGGAAUUUGGUAAGGGUAUGAGAAAGAAAAAGAAAAAUUGUUUUUUUGAUUCAUCAGAAUCAGAGAAGGAAUCAGACAAUAACAAAUGUCCCGUAAAAUCUAAGACAAUUGAAAAAAACAACAAAAAACAAUUCAAAAAAUAUACUAAUGUCUCAAAAAAUAUAAAAAAGAUAGCGCCACCUCCUUCUAUUUCUGCAUCUUUUUGUAAAAGUACAUGCAUGUUAUCACCAGAAAGGCAGUCAAAAACAAGACAGCACAUAAAACAACCCAAGUUACCGUUAAAUAUUAAAAUCUCAGAAUCUUCAAAGCAAAGCCAUACAGACACUAUAAAUGUUCUCAGAAAUAUAAGGGAAAAGAAUAAAGAGUCAGAUAAAAGAACGCAAUUAUUUGAAAGGUUAAAAAAACAUGGACAUGAAAAAUUACAUAAAUAUGAAGAAAAAGCUGCUUUAUCUUCUAUGCAAGAAACUCUACAAGAACAAAAUAUAUAUGAGAUACAAGAAGCAAUUAUACUAUCUCCUUUAAAAGAAAAGGAAACUCCACAGAAGAAUGAUAGAAGCUUACGUUCUCCGUUACAAAUGCUUAGUCCAAAUUGUUGUAACAAUAGCAACAAAUCUUAUUGUCAUUUAUUUAAAACUCCAGAGAAAAAUAAUAAUUCCUCUCCAUUAAAAAGUUCAGAGACAGAAAGUUAUACCGCUUAUCACUUAAGUCCUAGUUUAUUACAGCCAGUAACACGUAAAGGAAAUGAAAGGAAGAAUAAUAAUUCCUCUCCAUUAAAAAGUUCAGGGACAGAAAGUUAUACCGCUCAUCAUUUAAGUCCUAGUUUAUUACAGCCAGUAACACGUAAAGGAAAUGAAAGGAAGAAUAAUAAUUCCUCUCCAUUAAAAAGUUCAGGGACAGAAAGUUAUACCGCUCAUCAUUUAAGUCCUAGUUUAUUACAGCCAGUAACACGUAAAGGAAACGAAAAAGAUUCAUCACUACAAACUAUGCUUGCUAAUUGUAUUUAUAAAUUAGAUGAAAAUAUGAAAAUUACAAAACAAAUUAACAGCAAAAUGGAUAUUUUUAUUAUGAAUCAAGAAAAACUACACCGUUAUUUACUCCCUGGAGAAAAAGUUGUUAAACGCCCUAGUGGUCUUCCAUCUUUUCCAGUUGAAACUGAGCAUGAAUUGAAUCAAAUGGAAGAAUUUCUUAAAGAUGAUAACAAUUUAUCAGCAGCGACCUUUUAUUUUGCAAAAUUUAUUGACCCAAAAAGCAUAGAAAAUUCUGUCAGAAAAUUGCUAUCGAAAAUUUUAAGUAACUCUGUAGCUAACAAUUAUAAUUUCCAUGGUACACGAGGAAAACAAAGAUUUAAAGAUCUUAAGAUAUGGGAACUAGUACAAGAGUGUCCAAAAAAGAAGAGAGAGAGGGAGGAAGGCAGCAAGAGAGCGAAAGAAGGAGAGAGGGAGGGAGCGAGAGAAGGGAGAUCGAGGGAGCGAUCGAACAAGGGAUGAUCGAGAGAGCGAUCGAACAAGGGAAGGAGGGGAGGCUUGGGAAGAGAGAGAGAAAAAUCUUUCUUAACAUUGUAUGCAUAUACCUGAUAGAUGGAGAGAUCAUAGGAAUUCCUCGACUAACUGGAAAUUUCACUGGUGGAUAUAAGUUAACGAUCUGCGGCUAAUACCAUCCGGUGCAAUUUCAAUAGUCACGGCGUUAAUUGGGAUUAACUUCGUUGCUUGUUUAAACAGAACAGUAUUUAAUAUACUACGCG